rnacentral:rRNA from 1 species
UACGGAGGGGGCUAGCGUUGUUCGGAAUUACUGGGCGUAAAGGGCGCGUAGGCGGCCUGCUAAGUCGAACGUGAAAUCCCCGGGCUCAACCCGGGAACUGCGUCCGAUACUGGCAGGCUUGAAUCCGGGAGAGGGAUGUGGAAUUCCAGGUGUAGCGGUGAAAUGCGUAGAUAUCUGGAGGAACACCGGUGGCGAAGGCGGCAUCCUGGACCGGUAUUGACGCUGAGGCGCGAAAGCUAGGGGAGCGAACGGG